rnacentral:sRNA from 1 species
CUUCAACGAGCCCAGUUGGAGCGGCAGUUCGCGGCCCUGGCCGUAGGUGGCGAGGAGGGCGUUGGCCUC